GCUGAGUGGUGGUUCCAAUUUGGAGGGGAAGUUCCUAAUCUGCAGAAGUGUGCCUUGAGGAUUGUAUCACAAUGCGUUUCGUCAAGUGGCUGUGAGAGGAAUUGGAGCGCUUUUGCUUUGGUCCACACGAAGCAAAGAAACCGUCUUCUAUAUGGCAAGCUGCACAAGCUUGUAUCUGUGCGCUACAACUUGAAGAUACGUGCUGAAGAAGAAGAAGACCCGGUGAGAGAGAAUGAUAAGCAGAAGGAAGUUGAUGCAUGUGCAAUGAUGAUGGAUACAACCAUGUUUGAUGCAACAAAUCCUAUGAUGGAAUGGUUGAAUGAGGAUGAGGAGCAUGCAAUCUUGGAUGGAGUUGAUGCUGCUAGCGCCGUGUUUGAGAAAAUACGUUUGCUUAACUCAAGUAGGAAAGUGUCUCGUCUUGCAAGG
rnacentral:rRNA from 1 species